rnacentral:rRNA from 1 species
AUACGGAGGAUCCGAGCGUUAUCCGGAUUUAUUGGGUUUAAAGGGAGCGUAGGUGGAUUGUUAAGUCAGUUGUGAAAGUUUGCGGCUCAACCGUAAAAUUGCAGUUGAAACUGGCAGUCUUGAGUACAGUAGAGGUGGGCGGAAUUCGUGGUGUAGCGGUGAAAUGCUUAGAUAUCACGAAGAACUCCGAUUGCGAAGGCAGCUCACUAGACUGUUACUGACACUGAUGCUCGAAAGUGUGGGUAUCAAACAGGAUUAGAUACCCUGGUAGUCCACACAGUAAACGAUGAAUACUCGCUGUUUGCGAUAUACAGUAAGCGACCAAGCGAAAGCAUUAAGUAUUCCACCUGGGGAGUACGCCGGCAACGGUGAAACUCAAAUGAAUUGACGGGG